CCCGGAUGGCGAAAUCGGUAGACGCAAGGGACUUAAAAUCCCUCGGGGGUAACCCCGUGCCGGUUCGACCCCGGCUCCGGGCACCAU
rnacentral:tRNA from 2 species